rnacentral:tRNA from 1 species
UCUUCCGUAGUAUAGUGGUCAGUAUAUGAGCUUGUCAUCCUUCCGGAUCACGCUCGGGACCCGGGUUCAAUUCCCGGCGGGAGAG